GAGUUAAAUCAUGGCUCAGAUUAAACACCAACGGCGUGCCUAACACAUGCAAGUCGAGCGGUAACAGGUGUAGCGGGGGAUGCUGACGAGCGACAAAAAGGUGGGUGGCGCUUGGGNNUCUGCAAAACAGAAAAAGACAACCCGGGGAAACUCGGGCUAAUACCGCAUACGAUCUACGGAUGAAAGCCGGGGACCGCAAGGCCAAAAAAAGAUAGAUGAGCCCAAGUCGGAUUAGCUAGUUGGUAGGGUAACGGCCUACCAAGGCGACGAUCCGUAACUGGUCUGAGAGGACGACCAGUCACACCGGAACUGAGACACGGUCCGGACUCCUACGGGAGGCAGCAGUGGGGAAUAUUGGACAAUGGGGGCAACCCUGAUCCAGCGACGCCGCGUGGGUGAAGAAGGCCUGCGGGUUGUAAAGCCCUUUUGGAGGGGAAGAAAAGUUGCGACCUAACACGUUGCGACCUUUAAGUGACCCACUAAAGAAGCACCGGCUAACUCUGUGCCAGCAGCCGCGGUACAAGGGCGA
rnacentral:rRNA from 1 species